GGGCGAUUAGCUCAGCUGGUUAGAGCGCGUCUCUGAUAAGGACGAGGUCCCUGGUUCGAGUCCAGGAUCGCCCA
rnacentral:tRNA from 2 species